rnacentral:rRNA from 1 species
AUUCUAGAGCUAAUACAUGCUGUUGUGCCCGACUCACGAAGGGCCGUAUUUAUUAGAUAUCAGCCAAUAAGCUUCUGCUAUUGUGGUGACUCAUAGUAACUUAAUCGGAUCGCAUGGGCCUGUCCCGCGACAAACCAUUCAAGUUUCUGCCCCAUCAUGCUUUCGAUGGUAGUGUAUUGGACUACCAUGGCUUUCACGGGUAACGGAGGAUUAGGGUUCGAUUCCGGAGAGGGAGCCUGAGAAACGGCUACCACUUCCACGGAAGGCAGCAGGCGCGUAAAUUACCCAAUACUGACUCAGUGAGGUAGUG